rnacentral:rRNA from 1 species
UACGUAGGGGGCGAGCGUUGUCCGGAUUUAUUGGGCGUAAAGAGCUCGUAGGCGGCUCAGUAAGUCGGGUGUGAAAACUCCAGGCUCAACCUGGAGACGCCACCUGAUACUGCUGUGGCUAGAGUCCGGUAGGGGAGCAUGGAAUUCCUGGUGUAGCGGUGAAAUGCGCAGAUAUCAGGAGGAACACCGAUGGCGAAGGCAGAUCUCUGGGCCGUAACUGACGCUGAGGAGCGAAAGCAUGGGGAGCGAACAGG